rnacentral:rRNA from 1 species
CCUACGGGAGGCAGCAGUGGGGAAUAUUGCACAAUGGGGGAAACCCUGAUGCAGCAACGCCGCGUGAGUGAUGAAGGCCUUCGGGUUGUAAAGCUCUGUCUUCAGGGACGAUAAUGACGGUACCUGAGGAGGAAGCCAAGGCUAACUACGUGCCAGCAGCCGCGGUAAUACGUAGGUGGCGCGCGUUGUCCGGAUUUACCGGGCGUAAAGGGGGCGUAGGCGGACUUUUAAGUGAGAUGUGAAAUACUCGGGCUCAACUUGAGUGCUGCAUUUCAAACUGGAAGUCUAGAGUGCAGGAGAGGAGAAUGGAAUUCCUAGUGUAGCGGUGAAAUGCGUAGAGAUUAGGAAGAACACCAGUGGCGAAGGCGAUGCUCUGGACUGUAACUGACGCUGAGGCUCGAAAGCGUGGGGAGCAAACAGGAUUAGAUACCCCUGUAGUC